AUUUAUCAGUGCUUGAAGGGAUCAUCAAAAAAAGAGCAAAACCCAAUCCUCACCCUGUAGACACACGCACAAACUUAAAAGAAACUCUUUCAGUUUCCUUGCUGGAUCAUCUUCAGCUAUCUUGCCUCUCCAGAGCUCUCCAGAAUUUGUGGCACUUGGAGGAUGCACUGAAAAGCAUUGCAUCUUUCUGACUCCCAGGGAAGCCGUGCAACUUCAGAGAGAGGUAAUAAGCAAGCUGCGGAAUCUGAGAGUGAGAGCAAGUUGGAAGGACACCAAAAUGGUGUUGGUACAAGAUGGGUUUGCAGGGGCACUUCACAUCCUUCCUCUGCCAUGCUGAGACGGAGAGCUGACCUCACAAUUUCACAUUAUAUUCAGAGCUUAUACCAAAUAGGUUUAACUUCUUUCUUGUUUGGUUGGUUUUGGCCUCAGUCUGGAUAGUCUGGAAAUGGCCAUACAAGUUAGAAAUGUAUCAUUUCUGUUUGAACCAAGUGAAUGAAGUUUUCAACAG
rnacentral:lncRNA from 1 species